rnacentral:rRNA from 1 species
ACGCGAAGAACCUUACCUGGACUCGAAAUUUUGUUGACCGUCUCAGAGAUGAGACUUUCCCGCAAGGGACAGCAGAAUAGGUGCUGCAUGGCUGUCGUCAGCUCGUGUCGUGAGAUGUUGGGUUAAGUCCCGCAACGAGCGCAACCCUUACCCUUAGUUGCUAAUCCGCAAGGAAAGCACCCUAAGGGAACUGCCUGGGAUAACCAGGAGGAAGGUGGGGAUGACGUCAAGUCCUCAUGGCCUUUAUGCCCAGGGCUACACACGUGCUACAAUGGCCGGUACAAAACGUCGCAAACCCGCGAGGGGGAGCCAAUCGCCAAAAACCGGUCUCAGUUCGGAUUGCAGGCUGCAACUCGCCUGCAUGAAGCUGGAAUCGCUAGUAAUCGCGUAUCAGAACGACGCGGUGAAUACGUUCCCGGGCCUUGUA